UUCGUCGGGCAGCGGCAGCAGUGGAUCACGGCCGUGCGACGAAAGAAUGCCGACGGAACAGACUGGAAGCCCACUCGGCACACGAAGAUAUGCAGCGUCCAUUUCGUUGGAGGUGCGCCGUCCAAGGAUGUGUCUUCACCGUCGUACGUGCCGAUGAUAUUUCCGGACGUGUACCUUAAGCGGUCCGUGCUUUCGGAAGAUAAGGCUGUACGCUAUGAGAGAAUGAAGAAGCGGAGGACGGCCGCAACAGCUGUUGCAAAUCUCGCCCACUCCUCAACAUCCUCGCCGAACGUGCCGCAAGCUGCACCACCUACGGCCACCAUGGACGUGCCAGCUUCUCUAGCAACAGCAGUCACACCCCCGCUGGAGGAACCUGAAGGCACCGAUGAGAAUAAUGAACCCAGAGAGCUGCAAGGACUUGAGGUCUCAACUCAGACUCAACAGACAUCGCAAGCCCAGAGCGAAGGGGUCCUGCUGAUUGCCUGCACCCUGUUCGCCGGUGCAUGCGAGGCAUCCACGCAGGUUGCGUUCAUUGCAUCUGAACUACCUGCAACAGCCGAUGCAAGUGUCACAGCAUUGUGUCUGGAGGACCACCAGCCUAGGGGUUUCUAUGGCUACCAGUCCUUGGCAGACAAAGAAAACGACGAUGCUCUCAGAGACCUCACUGGGGUGACCAUCACGGUGUUCCUGGCUCUGUUGAGCCUCUUACCACGGGUGCGUGGCGAGAGAUACUUGGACCUGGCAGUGGACAGCAAGCUUCUGCUGUUUCUCAUGAAGAUGAAGCAUGGCCUCACGUUCUCUGCGUUAGGAGUUCUAUUCAGCAUUCAUCGGAGUAGCGCGUCGCGCAUUCUCUAUGCCACUCUGGACGUCCUGUAUGUCAGCACUCGAGGGUGGAUCCAGUGGUUUUCGAGGGAUGUUGUACAAGCGUGAAUGCCUCCCUCCUUCCGCUUCAACUAUCCCACUUGUAGGGUUAUUGUGGACUGUUCGGAGGUCCGAAUCGAGAAACCAGGUAAAGUCACAGACAGGGUAAACUGCUGGAGCAACUACAAGAGUGACUUUACACUGAAAUUUCUAGUUGGGAUCACACCGUCGGGGUACAUAACAUUCAUUUCGGAUGUGUUUGGUGGCAGGUCAAGCGACACAUACAUCAUCGCCAACUCUGGAUUGAUUAGCCUGCUGGAACGGGGGGAUAUGGUGAUGGCGGACAAAGGUUUUCCUCAUAUAAAGUGUGACUUGGAAAGUAAGGACGUCACACUUGUCAUGCCACCAUUCGCAAAAGCCAACCAGCAGUUCACUGAGGCGGAGCUGAAAGAGACCUACAAGGUUGCAUCUCACCGCAUUCAUGUCGAGAGAUGCAUUCAGCGCAUCAAGAGUUUUGCGAUCUUGAGUGAAAGGCUAACACCAGAACUCAGAUUUCACAUUGACAAGAUAGUACAUGUGUGCAGCACACUGGCCAACCUACAAGGUCCUGUCAUAAAAACUGUGUGAGUGCUUUGAACAGAAAUAAAUGUUUGGAUACAUGU